AUGCCGGCUACAAGGCUUAUGUGUUUCCCGACAAUACCUUCUAGGGUUUUCCAUAUAGCUCUCACUAAGGUUUACUGGUAGUCAAAGAAUUCCAUCUGAAAAUAUCAAUGGCUCUUAAUACCCAGCAGGGAAUACACCACCAAGAAAAACAUUGGGAUCUACCAUUAAAAUGGAAAAGGCAAGACCUGAAACGGGCAGCUUUGGAAACAUGAAUGGAGAAAUAUUAAAAACUAAUUAGAUGAAAAGAUGAUUUGAUGAUUGACAACUGUACUACCAUGGGAUGGAAAUGUCCAUUGAAAUUGGAGCUACCAAAGAGGCUAUAUGUUGGUCUCGGCAUGUGUACACACACACACACACACACACACACGCACACACACACAGCUUUAUCUGUCUUGGCACUAACCAGAGCUACAUUCGUGAGUUUCAUGAGAUGCUCGCUCUUUGGUGACAAUGAGUACAACCUUUACAGCUUUGAUUGGAGAUAGCUGAUACAAUGAAUACCAUCCAGGCAGAACCUAGGCCCAAAUGCUUUGUUUGGGUGCUGCCUUCUGGUGUGAUAAUAUAUUGGUGGCUCUUGUGACAGUUUCAGGAAUGGCCUUUUCUCAAAGCUGUAUGGUACACCUUAAUAUGUUGGAAGCUUCUAUACUAUAGCCAUGUGUGUCAUCGCUGAGAAGUCUCUAAACAUGAGCAUCACUUGGACCGUGACUUUGUGUUCUCAAUGGAAUCUAUGUUCCUUCUACCUUCUAUUGUGUCUUGGAACACUCUGCUCUGUGGCAAUG
rnacentral:lncRNA from 1 species